rnacentral:lncRNA from 1 species
GAAGUAUGAAUGGGAUUGAAGGAUUUACAUGGAGGACUCUAAACUUCCCUUCCUGAGUCAGGAAGGAUAGGUAUGGCAGUGGUAUGACCUCGACAGCUGGCCUGUAAGCUCAUCAGUGGUCAGCAUUUCAAACACAGCCUCUUUAAAUCCAUUGACUGUUAGAAAUUGAAGCAUCCAAGUCAACCAAAGGAUAACAAAUAAAGGGGCCUGCUUUGAGACCUACUGAAGCUGUCUAUAAUGAUGUGACAAAUGUAAGUAUUUUGAUGAAACUUAACCUUACAAAUCUCUGUUUGGACGCUUGGAUUUAGCAGAUGCUUUAAUAUUUCUGUGUCGUGCCCCCCCCUUCUGCAAAGUGC